rnacentral:tRNA from 1 species
GUUGCUAAGUGGAUAAGGCUAUGGUUUUCGAAGCCAACAGUACUGGGUUCGAGUCCCAGAGUGAACA